GACGAACGCUGGCGGCGUGCUUAACACAUGCAAGUCGAACGGAAAGGCCCUGCUUUUGUGGGGUGCUCGAGUGGCGAACGGGUGAGUAACACGUGAGUAACCUGCCCUUGACUUUGGGAUAACUUCAGGAAACUGGGGCUAAUACCGGAUAGGAGCUCCUGCUGCAUGGUGGGGGUUGGAAAGUUUCGGCGGUUGGGGAUGGACUCGCGGCUUAUCAGCUUGUUGGUGGGGUAGUGGCUUACCAAGGCUUUGACGGGUAGCCGGCCUGAGAGGGUGACCGGGGACAGUGGGACUGAGAGACGGCGCAGACUGCUACGGGAGGCAGCAGUGGGGAAUAGGGCACGAUGGGCGGAAGCCUGAUGCAGCGACGGCGCGGGCGGGAGGACGGCCGUCGGGUUGGAGACCGCUUUGGCCGGUGACGAGGCGUGAGUGGCGGUAAUGGGUAAAGAAGCGCGGGCUAACUACGUG
rnacentral:rRNA from 1 species